rnacentral:rRNA from 1 species
GAUGAACGCUGGCGGCGUGCUUAACACAUGCAAGUCGAACGAGAAACCUUUUAUUGAAGCUUCGGCAGAUUUAGCUGGUUUCUAGUGGCGGACGGGUGAGUAACGCGUGGGUAACCUGCCUUAUACAGGGGGAUAACAACCAGAAAUGGUUGCUAAUACCGCAUAAGCGCACAGGACCGCAUGGUCCGGUGUGAAAAACUCCGGUGGUAUAAGAUGGACCCGCGUUGGAUUAGCUAGUUGGCAGGGUAACGGCCUACCAAGGCGACGAUCCAUAGCCGGCCUGAGAGGGUGAACGGCCACAUUGGGACUGAGACACGGUCCAGACUCCUACGGGAGGCAGCAGUGGGGAAUAUUGCACAAUGGGGGAAACCCUGAUGCAGCGACGCCGCGUGAAGGAAGAAGUAUCUCGGUAUGUAAACUUCUAUCAGCAGGGAAGAUAGUGACGGUACCUGACUAAGAAGCCCCGGCUAACUACGUG